CGAGAAAGCCCGCAAGGGUGAGUAAAGCGGCGCACGGGUGCGUAACACGUGGGUAAUCUGCCCUAGAGUCUGGAAUAACUCGCCGAAAGGCGUGCUAAUGCCGGAUGAGACCACGGGAGCUUCGGCUCCUGCGGGAAAAGGUGGCCUCUGUACACAAGCUAUCGCUCUAGGAUGAGCCCGCGGCCCAUCAGCUAGUUGGCGGGGUAAUGGCCCACCAAGGCAACGACGGGUAGCUGGUCUGAGAGGACGAUCAGCCACACUGGAACUGAGACACGGUCCAGACUCCUACGGGAGGCAGCAGUGGGGAAUCUUGCGCAAUGGGCGAAAGCCUGACGCAGCAACGCCGCGUGUGUGAUGAAGGUCUUCGGAUCGUAAAGCACUGUCGCGAGGGACG
rnacentral:rRNA from 1 species